UGAAUUUUAUUAAAAAUCGUAAGAACUAGAAGUAAAUUUUUUUGGAACAGGGCAGAAGAGCUCUCUUCUUUCUCUUUAGGCGAUUGAAGAGGCGAUUUAGGAGUGUUUUUUUGCUCCUCUCUCUCUUCUCUCUUCUCUCUUUCAUUUUUUUUAGAGAGAGAGGAAGCUUUUUCUCUCUUACUCUUGAUUAUUUGAUCAGAGUUUUUUUCCGUAUAUAUCGGAUUGUUAGUUUCCAACAUUGAUCGGAUAAUAAAGUUUCGGUUUUAUCCGGAUUAGUUAGUCUUUUCUCCUCUACGUUUGGUCCUCUAUCAGUGUUUUUGAGGCGGUGGCGAACAGAUUCGGUGGUGACAUGUCUGGAGUCAAAGACGAUCAGCGCUGCUUAAUUGGAGAUUUAAGUUUUUGGCAAAUUCUAAAUCGAGUCUAAUUGGAGGAGGAAUUAAGCGGUGAAAAUCUACAAUAUUUGAAGAGUUUGAGUUUACUAUCAACCUACUAUAGAAUCUCGAUUACCACGCAUGAUCUGGCAGCUUCCAUCAAGCUUCUUUCGGUGGAUUUAGGUUCAAAAUUCAUCCAGAAAAGUUUAUUAGAACCGGCAGAUUCGGAUAGCGGUAAUUUUCCUGUCACCUUCAGUUGUGGCACAUGUGUUGACACGUGGAACCCAUGCAAUUCUUCUUUAUCUUUUAUCUUUUGUAAUUGGGUUUUAUGUUGGGCUAAAUUGUAUAAUGGGGUGUUGGACCAAAUAUUGUAAUCACUUUACCCAUUUCGGGCUGAAAUGAAAUAAAAUGGACAA